rnacentral:rRNA from 1 species
CCUACGGGUGGCUGCAGUGGGGAAUAUUGGACAAUGGGCGAAAGCCUGAUCCAGCCAUGCCGCGUGUGUGAAGAAGGCCUUCGGGUUGUAAAGCACUUUCAGUGGGGAAGAAAGCCUUGGGGCUAAUACCCUCGAGGAAGGACAUCACCCACAGAAGAAGCACCGGCUAACUCCGUGCCAGCAGCCGCGGUAAUACGGAGGGUGCGAGCGUUAAUCGGAAUUACUGGGCGUAAAGCGCGCGUAGUUGGUCUGAUAAGCCGGUUGUGAAAGCCCCGGGCUCAACCUGGGAACGGCAUCCGGAACUGUCAGGCUAGAGUGCAGGAGAGGAAGGUAGAAUUCCCGGUGUAGCGGUGAAAUGCGUAGAGAUCGGGAGGAAUACCAGUGGCGAAGGCGGCCUUCUGGACUGACACUGACGCUGAGGUGCGAAAGCGUGGGUAGCAAACAGGAUUAGAUACCCGAGUAGUC